AAUGAAUCUAACAAAAUGUUAUAAAAUAAGGAAAAAGUAAUUUUACGGAAGAGUUAAAACAUCGGUAGGAUAUUCUGACCAUAAACUUCCUUUCCAUUGACAAGAUUGAAAUCCCAAUGUAAUAAAACUGUUUGGAAAGAAGUACAGUUAGUGUAAGUUUAAGUUUGAUAAAGUGGACGUCAAUCAUCGUAAAAAGCGGUACGAAAGAACUGUCCAUCUUCAUCAAAAGAUUAAAAAAAAAAAAUAAUAAAAAGGAAAAGACACAAAAAAAAAUAAAAUAAAACUUGGAUGAAUGAAAUAAUUGGAGUUUAGUAGAAUAGUGGGCUGUUGGUUCGAUCUCAAUCAUGUUUGAAGAAUCGUACUGUUCAUAGAGGAAAAAGCUUUUUAUCGAUAUCUCGAAGAACAUUGUUAAACGUGAUUCGGUAAUAAAAUUGAAUUGAAGAUUUCUACUUACCUCUAUUUAGUGUAAAAACAAAAAAAAAAGAUUGUGAGAGACAGUAAAGACAUUGGAUUUGGUCUCGAUGAAAAAAUACGAACUUUAAUUUCGAACCCUUCGUAAAACAAAUGUGAUUUCUAAUCGAUGUGAAAAAAAAAAA